AUGAGGUAGGUUAACACUCUUAGGGUAGAUGUGUGUGGGCUGGAAGGACCACACUCUCUGAUUCCUGGGUUGUGUGAUGCUCACACCUUUGUCUCCUUUUCAACUACAUCAGCCUUGCCUGAUAGGGAAGUUAGAGAACUGGAGCUGAGGCUAGUGAUAGUUAACUGUAUGUAUCAACUUGGUUAGGCCAUAGUACACAGAUAUUUGGCUAACUUUUAUUCUAGAUAUUUCUGUGGAGGUAUUUUAGAUGGGAUUGAGAUUUAAAUCAGUAGACUGAGCAAAGCAGUCUGCCUUCCAUAAUGUAGGUAGGCCUCAUCCAAUCAGUUGAAUGGAGUCCAAAGUCACCCCACUAGCAGAGCUCCCAGCAGAGUGACUUUGGACUCUUCCCUGGGUCUCCAGCCUGCCAGUCUACCCUGCAGAUCCUGGACUUGCCAGCCUCCUCAAUUACAUGAGCCAAUCCCUUAAAAUCAAUCUCUCUCUCUCUCCACAUUCUAUUGAUUUUCCUCUGAUGUCACAAUUCCUUCUACUUACCCCAACCAUUCAGGUAAGUCUGACACAUCAGUAUCCUUUGUGCAGUCAUGACGUUAGGGUGGGGCAGUAAGGGACAGGACAGAAAGGGAAGUGCAGCCUGCCUCCUGCCCCCCACCCCGGGACUGCCUUCGUGGAGGGAGAGAUAUCUUGCCUCUUCCUAGGAGACCCAGGCACAGACAUUGGCACAGGAGUGAGUGGAACACAAGGCAUCUUCCAGGGGCCCAAAAGGAAAGGCAGGAAGAACCCCAUUUCCUUGGGAAUUUUUUCUCAUCAUCUCAGGAGAAAAGAAGGCUAAUAUUUGGAAAGGGAGGAGCAUUUGGGGCCCUGAAGUACCUGCUCCACCAGAACACGUCCACACCAGCCUGCUGGAUGGAUGCAGGAGACAUAUGCAGGAGAGCCAAGCUUUCCCAGUCAAGGCCAUCCUAGGUGAAAAACUGAGGCCAAGAAAGGUGAAGUGGACAUAGUGAAGCAGGAAGUGGUUAACAGAGCCAGGACUAGAAAUCAGCCUCUUGACUACCAGAAUUUACCUUUUAGAUCACCUAAGCAGCACGUGGAAUGGACAGUGGGUUAAAUGAAGAAGAAAGAGAGGCUGGCAUCCAGUAGCUGAGCCGAAUUGCACAGACUUGGAGGAGUAAAUGAAACAAGUGUUUUAUGGAACAACAGGCAAACCAUUUAAAUCUAUAACUACUAUGCUUAUGUUUCCUGCUUCCUUGUCUACAAUGGAAUAUGCAGUUUCCUUUUCUCCAUGAGACUGACUGAUUUGGACUGCAUCAAAAGGCUCCCUUGCCCUUUGGCCUCUGGUUGGAUUUGGCCAUUGGGAUGCACCAGCAGGAGACUGGAGAAGGGUGGUGAGAUAUAAAUUCCCCAGUUUCUUCUUGGGUUUUCUCUGGGAGGGGGUGGGGAACUUGCAGCCUCAAGGCCACAUGUGGCCCCCCAGAUCCCCAAGUGCAGCCCCUCCACCAAAUCCAAACUUUACAGAACAAAUUCCUUUAUUAAGUCUGACUGUAUCCAUUGACUGAAGGUCAGAGGCUCCUGUUAAGUACUCUCUCAGUGUCUGUAUUUUGGUAAGAGUUCUUUCCACUGCAUCUACAGAUCUAGGAGCUGUAGCCCCAGGGCUCCACACUUCCCUUGUGGUUUUCCACACCCUGCCUACAUCUUUGUAAAGUGCCAUUUGUUUCCUGCAAGGACCCUCACUGAUACAAUGCUGUGAAUAAAAUCACUGCA